AGUCAACAAGGCAAAAGAAGAAAAGACUGCAGUAUCCAAUGACUGAGAUAAGGACCUGAACAAAAUUGUUGGUGCUGGAAGGACCAUAUUCAUUACUGGUCGCUCAGUCAGAAUCUAGCCCAGAGAAUGGAAAACUGCUGUUUUGUGGGUAACUUGACACAGAUGACCCCAAAGAGACAAGAUUCCUUUUGCCUCUAAAGAGAGGAUCUGGAAGGUCUCUCUACUUUAGUGGUGCUCAAUGAAUAUAAAGUCUUCCUGCGCUUUCAAAUGAUUAUUAGGAUAUAAAUGCAAUGAUCAGACAGUUGUCAUUUGCAUCUUUCACACUCAAGUUGUUUCGCCGUCUCCUGGAAUUUCUCCUGAAAAAUUAUAAACCUUGGCUGGUGCACAAUGUGU